rnacentral:lncRNA from 1 species
CGGUCUGUGGGUUCGAGCCCCAUGUCGGGCUCUGUGCUGACAGCUCAGAGCCUGGAGCCUGCUUGGAUUUUGUGUCUCCCUCUCUCCUCUGCUCCCCCCCCGCCCCGCUCAUGCUCUGUCUCUCUCUCUGUCAAAAAUAAAUCAACAUUAAAAAUAAAAUUAAAAAAAAUGGGUUGACUUUAAAAAUUUUCCAAAAUGUUCAUCUUUUGGAAAGUAUGCUAAGGAAGAGCAAUUGCUUCCCCAGGUUUUCUUCCCUUAGCGAGACUAUUAAAAAGUUCAGGAGAAAAUCUGGCAGGUUGAAAUGCCAGCCAUGCAAGGUACCAAAGAAUUCCCAGAAGCAACCUUAUUUAAAGUCUUUCUAGACGUGAUCACACGCGGUAAACCACUCACUUCAAGCAGUAUGUAAUUUUAGCCACCAAAUGAUGUCUACCCUACCCCCAUCUCAUUCCAAAGGGUCAAACGUGACUUAGUACCUUUUUGGGGAUUUUUACCGCGAUGCUUUGUAACUGACAGGCUUCAGUUACACUCUAGAGCCUGCUCUAUAAGAAGAGUUCUUAUUAUUGUACGUUCAUAUAUCGUAUCAGUCUUCACAUUUACACAGCCACAGCUCUUUGCAAGGGCAUUCCUCUAAGACUGCUUGCGUAUAAUUUUACCAAGGCCUAUUUGCCAUUACAAUGCUGAAACGGAUAUUUUGUCCUUCUAAUCGUUCUCGGUGACAUCAAAGCACAAAACACCCCAAGUGGCAAAUGCUCAUUGAUUGUGAGUAGAGAGGAUGUGGGAACGGACCAAGUCUAUGGGCUGCAAUCGUCUCUCCCACCACCACUCGGGUGUGUCAUACAUGAUCAAGACAACAAAAGUUUAGGGAGAUGAUCGGUAUUAACAUAACCACGACAAAACAGUUGGACACCAAUCUGAAAUACAUUCUCAAUACUCACAUCCUGUUUGCUGCUCUCCAUCUCUCUGCUACACUAAGAAUUGACUCUCCCUCCACUUCCUCUUCAAGGUACUGCUUCCUCCGCAUCAAAACUGACCAGCCCGGGCCUCCGCCGCAAGCCCAUCCCGCGUCUUCGGACGGAGCAGCAGGGGCGACCCUUUACGGGGAAACGGCGCUGGGCCCCCGCCAUCCUCAAUGUCGCCGUUAACAG